UGCAACUCGACUCCAUGAAGCUGGAUUCGCUAGUAAUCGCGCAUCAGCACGGCGCGGUGAAUACGUUCCCGGGCCUUGUACACACCGCCCGUCAAGCCAUGGAAGCCGGGGGUGCCUGAAGUGCGCUGCCGCGAGGAGCGCCCUAGGGUAAAACCGGUGACUGGGGCUAAGUCGUAACAAGGUAUC
rnacentral:rRNA from 1 species